rnacentral:rRNA from 1 species
CACACUAUCAUUAACUGAAUCCAUAGGUUAAUGAGGCGAACCGGGGGAACUGAAACAUCUAAGUACCCCGAGGAAAAGAAAUCAACCGAGAUUCCCCCAGUAGCGGCGAGCGAACGGGGAGCAGCCCAGAGCCUGAAUCAGUGUGUGUGUUAGUGGAAGCGUCUGGAAAGGCGCGCGAUACAGGGUGACAGCCCCGUACACAAAAAUGCACAUGCUGUGAGCUCGAUGAGUAGGGCGGGACACGUGGUAUCCUGUCUGAAUAUGGGGGGACCAUCCUCCAAGGCUAAAUACUCCUGACUGACCGAUAGUGAACCAGUACCGUGAGGGAAAGGCGAAAAGAACCCCGGCGAGGGGAGUGAAAAAGAACCUGAAACCGUGUACGUACAAGCAGUGGGAGCACGCUUAGGCGUGUGACUGCGUACCUUUUGUAUAAUGGGUCAGCGACUUAUAUUCUGUAGCAAGGUUAACCGAAUAGGGGAGCCGAAGGGAAACCGAGUCUUAACUGGGCGUUAAGUUGCAGGGUAUAGACCCGAAACCCGGUGAUCUAGCCAUGGGCAGGUUGAAGGUUGGGUAACACUAACUGGAGGACCGAACCGACUAAUGUUGAAAAAUUAGCGGAUGACUUGUGGCUGGGGGUGAAAGGCCAAUCAAACCGGGAGAUAGCUGGUUCUCCCCGAAAGCUAUUUAGGUAGCGCCUCGUGAAUUCAUCUCCGGGGGUAGAGCACUGUUUCGGCAAGGGGGUCAUCCCGACUUACCAACCCGAUGCAAACUGCGAAUACCGGAGAAUGUUAUCACGGGAGACACACGGCGGGUGCUAACGUCCGUCGUGAAGAGGGAAACAACCCAGACCGCCAGCUAAGGUCCCAAAGUCAUGGUUAAGUGGGAAACGAUGUGGGAAGGCCCAGACAGCCAGGAUGUUGGCUUAGAAGCAGCCAUCAUUUAAAGAAAGCGUAAUAGCUCACUGGUCGAGUCGGCCUGCGCGGAAGAUGUAACGGGGCUAAACCAUGCACCGAAGCUGCGGCAGCGACACUAUGUGUUGUUGGGUAGGGGAGCGUUCUGUAAGCCUGUGAAGGUGUACUGUGAGGUAUGCUGGAGGUAUCAGAAGUGCGAAUGCUGACAUAAGUAACGAUAAAGCGGGUGAAAAGCCCGCUCGCCGGAAGACCAAGGGUUCCUGUCCAACGUUAAUCGGGGCAGGGUGAGUCGACCCCUAAGGCGAGGCCGAAAGGCGUAGUCGAUGGGAAACAGGUUAAUAUUCCUGUACUUGGUGUUACUGCGAAGGGGGGACGGAGAAGGCUAUGUUGGCCGGGCGACGGUUGUCCCGGUUUAAGCGUGUAGGCUGGUUUUCCAGGCAAAUCCGGAAAAUCAAGGCUGAGGCGUGAUGACGAGGCACUACGGUGCUGAAGCAACAAAUGCCCUGCUUCCAGGAAAAGCCUCUAAGCAUCAGGUAACAUCAAAUCGUACCCCAAACCGACACAGGUGGUCAGGUAGAGAAUACCAAGGCGCUUGAGAGAACUCGGGUGAAGGAACUAGGCAAAAUGGUGCCGUAACUUCGGGAGAAGGCACGCUGAUAUGUAGGUGAAGUCCCUCGCGGAUGGAGCUGAAAUCAGUCGAAGAUACCAGCUGGCUGCAACUGUUUAUUAAAAACACAGCACUGUGCAAACACGAAAGUGGACGUAUACGGUGUGACGCCUGCCCGGUGCCGGAAGGUUAAUUGAUGGGGUCAGCGCAAGCGAAGCUCUUGAUCGAAGCCCCGGUAAACGGCGGCCGUAACUAUAACGGUCCUAAGGUAGCGAAAUUCCUUGUCGGGUAAGUUCCGACCUGCACGAAUGGCGUAAUGAUGGCCAGGCUGUCUCCACCCGAGACUCAGUGAAAUUGAACUCGCUGUGAAGAUGCAGUGUACCCGCGGCAAGACGGAAAGACCCCGUGAACCUUUACUAUAGCUUGACACUGAACAUUGAGCCUUGAUGUGUAGGAUAGGUGGGAGGCUUUGAAGUGUGGACGCCAGUCUGCAUGGAGCCGACCUUGAAAUACCACCCUUUAAUGUUUGAUGUUCUAACGUUGACCCGUAAUCCGGGUUGCGGACAGUGUCUGGUGGGUAGUUUGACUGGGGCGGUCUCCUCCUAAAGAGUAACGGAGGAGCACGAAGGUUGGCUAAUCCUGGUCGGACAUCAGGAGGUUAGUGCAAUGGCAUAAGCCAGCUUGACUGCGAGCGUGACGGCGCGAGCAGGUGCGAAAGCAGGUCAUAGUGAUCCGGUGGUUCUGAAUGGAAGGGCCAUCGCUCAACGGAUAAAAGGUACUCCGGGGAUAACAGGCUGAUACCGCCCAAGAGUUCAUAUCGACGGCGGUGUUUGGCACCUCGAUGUCGGCUCAUCACAUCCUGGGGCUGAAGUAGGUCCCAAGGGUAUGGCUGUUCGCCAUUUAAAGUGGUACGCGAGCUGGGUUUAGAACGUCGUGAGACAGUUCGGUCCCUAUCUGCCGUGGGCGCUGGAGAACUGAGGGGGGCUGCUCCUAGUACGAGAGGACCGGAGUGGACGCAUCACUGGUGUUCGGGUUGUCAUGCCAAUGGCACUGCCCGGUAGCUAAAUGCGGAAGAGAUAAGUGCUGAAAGCAUCUAAGCACGAAACUUGCCCCGAGAUGAGUUCUCCCUGACUCCUUGAGAGUCCUGAAGGAACGUUGAAGACGACGACGUUGAUAGGCCGGGUGUGUAAGCGCAGCGAUGCGUUGAGCUAACCGGUACUAAUGAACCGUGAGGCUUAACCUUACAACGCCGAAGCUGUU